rnacentral:lncRNA from 1 species
UAGGGACCAUCUGAUAUGCCACCUCAAUUAAUGAGGGAGAUCAGAUGGUCCACGUAUAUUUGUAAUUUCUGAUUUUCAUUUUAAUUGCUUUAUUUUCAUUAAUUCAUAUUAAUUUUAAUAUUGUUCCAAAAAAUAUGGGACUUUCACACAAAAAAAUCAAAUACUUUUCUCUUUCAUUUUCUAAAUUAAAAUGAUUUUU